GACGAACGCUGGCGGCGUGCUUAACACAUGCAAGUCGAACGAAGUGGCGCACGGGUGAGUAACGCGUAAUCAACCUCCCCUUCAGAGGGGUACAACAUUUGGAAACGACUGCUAAUCCCGCAUACUGACUGAGGGGAUUGCGUCUGAUUAGCUAGUUGGAGGGGUAACGGCGCACCAAGGCGAUGAUCAGUAGGCGGGGGGAGAAGAGGAACGGGCCGAAUGGGAAUGAGACACGGCCCAGGACCCUACGGGAGGCAGCAGGGGGGAAUAUUGCGCAAUGGAGGAAAGUCUGACGGAGCAACGCCGAGUGAGUGAUGACGGCCUUCGGGGUGUAAAGGUCUGUUAAUCGGGACGCGGUACCGGAAGAGAAAGCCACGGCUAACUACGUGCCAGCAGCCGCGGUAAUAC
rnacentral:rRNA from 1 species